rnacentral:rRNA from 1 species
CUGGCUCAGGAUGAACGCUAGCGACAGGCUUAACACAUGCAAGUCGAGGGGCAGCACAGGUAGCAAUACCGGGUGGCGACCGGCGCACGGGUGAGUAACGCGUAUGCAACUUACCUAUCAGAGGGGGAUAACCCGGCGAAAGUCGGACUAAUACCGCAUGAAGCAGGGGCCCCGCAUGGGGAUAUUUGCUAAAGAUUCAUCGCUGAUAGAUAGGCAUGCGUUCCAUUAGGCAGUUGGCGGGGUAACGGCCCACCAAACCGACGAUGGAUAGGGGUUCUGAGAGGAAGGUCCCCCACAUUGGUACUGAGACACGGACCAAACUCCUACGGGAGGCAGCAGUGAGGAAUAUUGGUCAAUGGGCGUAAGCCUGAACCAGCCAAGUCGCGUGAGGGAUGAAGGUUCUAUGGAUCGUAAACCUCUUUUAUAAGGGAAUAAAGUGUGGGACGUGUCCUAUUUUGUAUGUACCUUAUGAAUAAGGAUCGGCAACUC